AUUGAACGCUGGCGGAAUGCUUUACACAUGCAAGUCGAACGGCAGCACGGACUUCGGUCUGGUGGCGAGUGGCGAACGGGUGAGUAAUACAUCGGAACGUGCCCAGUCGUGGGGGAUAACGUAGCGAAAGCUACGCUAAUACCGCAUACGAUCUAAGGAUGAAAGCGGGGGAUCGCAAGACCUCGCGCGACUGGAGCGGCCGAUGGCAGAUUAGGUAGUUGGUGGGGUAAAGGCUCACCAAGCCGAAGAUCUGUAGCUGGUCUGAGAGGACGACCAGCCAAACUGGGACUGAGACACGGCCCAGACUCCUACGGGAGGCAGCAGUGGGGAAUUUUGGACAAUGGGCGAAAGCCUGAUCCAGCCAUUCCGCGUGCAGGAUGAAGGCCCUCGGGUUGUAAACUGCUUUUGUACGGAACGAAAAGGCUCUGGUUAAUACCUGGGGCUCAUGACGGUACCGUAAGAAUAAGCACCGGCUAACUACGUGCCAGCCGCCGCCGUAAAAC
rnacentral:rRNA from 1 species